rfam:Ictidomys tridecemlineatus contig030399, whole genome shotgun sequence.
GGGGAUGUAGCUCAGUGGGAGAGUGCUUGCCUAGCACACAAGAGGCUCUGGAUUUGAUCCCCAGCACCCCA